UAGGUGCCUCCACCAGAGCUUCUGUCGCUCUGUAACCUGCACUGUGACCUACACUAGUCGCGGGAGCCACGCAGAGGACGCCGGAACACCCUGGAAGCCGAGAAAUGGACCCAGUGGCUUUUAAGGAUGUGGCUGUGAACUUCACCCAGGAGGAGUGGGCUUUGCUGGAUAUUUCCCAGAGGAAACUCUACAGGGAAGUGAUGCUGGAAACUUUCAGGAACCUGACCUCUUUAGGUAAGGAUGACAAUAUUCCUUCCCUCAGUCCAUUAGUGAACCAGUGUUUCUAGCUCAUUAAUGCUGUUGAGUGAUUUAGAACAUAGACAGGAAAUACUUUGAUGAAUAAAUGAGGUAUGGCUGCAGUAAAUCAUGGGCGUAGAAUCUAAUAAUUUUUUCACAAUUUUAUACUGCCUCAGGACUAUUUUUUCUGUGUCUGUAUUUUAGGAAAAAGGUGGAAAGACCAGAACAUUGAAUAUGAGCACCAAAACCCCAGGAGAAACUUCAGGAGUCUCAUAGAAGAAAAAGUCAAUGAAAUUAAAGAUGACAGUCAUUGUGGAGAAACUUUUACCCCAGUUCCAGAUGACAGACUGAACUUCCAGGAGAAGAAAGCUUCUCCUGAAGUAAAAUCAUGUGAAAGCUUUGUGUGUGGAGAAGUUGGCCUAGGUAACUCAUCUUUUAAUAUGAACAUCAGAGGUGACAUUGGACACAAGGCAUAUGAGUAUCAGGAAUAUGGACCAAAGCCAUGUAAGUGUCAACAACCUAAAAAAGCCUUCAGAUACCGCCCCUCCUUUAGAACACAAGAAAGGGAUCACACUG
rnacentral:lncRNA from 1 species